UUAUCUGAGACAAGUUGGGCCUUGCAGGCUACUGGGCUUAGUAAUGCACGCUCAGUCUUUAGCCCAACUAUUAGUGGGCUUUCUAUCAGAUAGUGGAAGAAGUUGGGAACUGUCUGCUGCUUCUGCUAUCCGGUGAAAGCCUUUUUGGCCCAUCGGAAAUUAAAACAAGGGUGUUUUUUUUUUUUACUUUAUUGAAAUUUCUUGCUUAGAGUUCCUUCGAUUGUUUUCUAAAAAAAAAGAGUUCCUUCGAUUUUUACUAGCUUAAUGGAUUAUUUCUCUAUUCCCAAAAUAACUUGUUUUUUUUUUAUUUAGUAAGAGGUGAGCUAAUUGGGUUGUCACAUGUGCAAAACCGCCAUCAUGUCCAGAGGGGGAGCGGUGAUCCUGCUGUUGGGUCCUAAACAAGAUCCUAGAUGACUUGUUGUAGAUGAGAUGAUUUUGGAGAGUCGGCGAAGGGGUAGCUAGUCGAGUGGGUUUGUGAAUAUUCGCGAACCUAUAACCACGGAUUACGAGAGACAGCUCCAUCCACUACAUAUGUUGCAUAUGUGAAUCACGUAUAGGCAGGGGCGGAGCUAGAUCAUUUCACCGGUGUCAGUAGACACCAGUGAUUUUGUUUGAAACCCUUAUAACUAUAUCACAAAAUUGAAAUUGACACACCAUCCAAAAUAGAUGCAAACUAGUGCAAUUAAGCUCUUGACACCGACCGCUGUUUAUCUUGUCCUCACCCCUGCGUAUAGGUGCAAUAAAUAAUAUCUUCAAUUAAAGAAAAAGAAGGAGAAUUCAAAACUUUAUGAGAAAUCUCGUCCGAUCGAUGGUCGGGAUUUUUCCGGUUACUGCUAAUCCACUCCCACGGAAUUUUAAGAAAUCCGGAACCUAAGAACUCGGUGCCGAGACAUCAAGGGAGAAAGAUCAUUCCGGUGAAGCCAACAACAGAUAC
rnacentral:lncRNA from 1 species